rnacentral:rRNA from 1 species
GUCAAUGGACGCAAGUCUGAACCAGCCAUGCCGCGUGAAGGAUUAAGGCCCUCUGGGUUGUAAACUUCUUUUAUACGGGAAGAAAUGUUCUGAUUCUUCAGAGCUUGACGGUACCAUAGGAAUAAGCACCGGCUAACUCCGUGCCAGCAGCCGCGGUAAUACGGAGGGUGCAAGCGUUAUCCGGAUUCACUGGGUUUAAAGGGUGCGUAGGUGGGCAGAUAAGUCAGUGGUGAAAUCUUCCGGCUUAACCGGAAAAUUGCCGUUGAUACUAUUUGUCUUGAAUAUUGUGGAGGUAAGCGGAAUAUGUCAUGUAGCGGUGAAAUGCUUAGAUAUGACAUAGAACACCAAUUGCGAAGGCAGCUUACUGUAUAAUUAUUGACACUGAGGCACGAAAGCGUGGGUAGCGAAC